rnacentral:rRNA from 1 species
UACGGGGGGAGCAAGCGUUGUUCGGAUUUACUGGGCGUAAAGCGCGUGUAGGCGGUUGCCCAAGUCGGGUGUGAAAGCCUUGAGCUCAACUCAAGAAAUGCACUCGGUACUGGGUGACUAGAGGACCGGAGAGGAUAGUGGAAUUCCCAGUGUAGUGGUGAAAUGCGUAGAUAUCAGGAGGAACACCGGUGGCGAAGGCGGCUCUCUGGACCACAACUGACGCUGAGGCGCGAAAGCUAGGGGAGCAAACAGG